UACAGAGGUCUCAAGCGUUGUUCGGAUUCAUUGGGCGUAAGGGGUGCGUAGGCGGCGCGGUAAGUCGGGUGUGAAAUCUCGGGGCUUAACUCCGAAACUGCAUUCGAUACUGCCGUGCUUGAGGACUGGAGAGGAGACUGGAAUUUACGGUGUAGCGGUGAAAUGCGUAGAUAUCGUAAGGAAGACCAGUGGCGAAGGCGGGUCUCUGGACAGUUCCUGACGCUGAGGCACGAAGGCCAGGGGAGCAAACGGG
rnacentral:rRNA from 1 species